CUUUUAUUUUGGUCUUGGGAUGUGUGACGUCAUAAGCCCGCGCGCCGCGCUCCUGCGUCUGUUAUGAUCCGGCUGCAGAAAGAUAAACUCGACUGAGAUCCACGUGUCACGCUGUUAUAAACUAUUAAAAAGAUGGCGUUUAUUAAAGAGGAGAGUGAAGACGUGACGAUUGAAGAAGCUGUCAGAAUCAAAUGAGAAGAUACUGUGGAACAAACAGACCUGAUGGCACUGAAAGAAGAGCAUGAAGUACUGAAUGAAAUCAAAGAGGAAGAUCAAUACACAGAUCACCAUGAUUUCAAAACUGAAGAACAAUCUUUUAGUUGUUCACAGACUGAAACAACUUCCAUACAGGAAAGGGCUCAAAAGACAGGAAAUAUAAGUUAUUUCUCCUGCCAAGAGUGUGGAAAGAGUUUCACUCAUAAAGGAAGCAUUAACAGGCACAUGAAAAUUCACACUGGAAAGAAGCCUUACUCAUGCCCUCGGUGUGGAAAGGGUUUUCACCAACAUGGAGGCCUUAAAGUCCACAUGAGUAUUCAUACAGGAGAAAGGCCUUUUGCCUGCCAACAGUGUGGAAAAAGAUUCAAACGAAUAGUAAACCUUGAUUACCACAUGAGAGUACACACUGAAAAAAACUCUUUCACUUGCCAUCAGUGUGGAAAAAAUUUUAGCCGAAAAGGAUCCCUUGAUUACCACAUGAGAGUGCACACUGAGAAACCCUACACAUGCCCUCACUGUAGAAAGAGUUUCAGCCAAAAAGGAAAAUUUGAAUACCACAUAAGAAACCACACUAGAGAGAAACCCUACAUAUGCCCACAUUGUGGAAAUGGUUUCAUUCAAAAAGGACACGUCAUAGACCACAUAAGAAUUCACACUGGAGAGAAGCCUUUUACCUGCCAACAGUGUGGAAAUAGUUUCCGCCAAAAAGGAUGCCUCAACAGGCACAUGAAAACACACAUUGGAGAGAAGUCCUUUGUAUGCUGUCACUUGGAAUGAGUUUUAGAAGUGAAGCAGCCCUUAAAUACCACAUGAAGAUUCACAUAUGAGAGAACUGCUCUAUAUUAUCAGUGUGGAAGAAGUUUCACAGACCGGAAACACCUGAGGAAUCAUGUAAUAACUCACUGGAGAGAAGCCUUACAUGUGCCAUCACUGUGGGAAGACUUGCAAAACCAAAGCAAACCUUGAGGUUUAUACGGAGCCCGGGAAGUCACCUGCUGGAGAGAAAAAACAAUCCGUACCGAUGGUUU